rnacentral:rRNA from 1 species
GACAGAGGUGCCAAGCGUUAGGCGGAAUCACUGGGCUUAAAGCGUGUGUAGGCGGAUGUCUAAGUACCUUGUGAAAUCCCACGGCUCAACCGUGGAACUGCUUGGUAUACUGGAUGUCUUGAGCCACCUAGGGGCUACCGGAACAAAUGGUGGAGCGGUGAAAUGCGUAGAUAUCAUUUGGAACGCCAAUGGUGAAAACAGGUAGCUGGGGAUGUGCUGACGCUGAGACACGAAAGCCAGGGGAGCAAACGGG